GCCUAGCGGCUAGGAACGAGUACGCUCUCUAUCUGAACCCUUGUCUUUUUGCGUACUCAUGUUUCCUCGGUGGGCCUGCCUGCCGGUUGGACAACUUAAUAACCUUUUUAAUUUUCAAUCAGCGUCUGAAUAAUUAUAAUAAUUACAACUUUCAACAACGGAUCUCUUGGUUCUGGCAUCGAUGAAGAACGCAGCGAAAUGCGAUAAGUAGUGUGAAUUGCAGAAUUCAGUGAAUCAUCGAAUCUUUGAACGCACAUUGCGCCCCUUGGUAUUCCAUGGGGCAUGCUUGUUCGAGCGUCAUUUGUACUCUCAAGCUUUGCUUGGUGUUGGGUGUUUGUCCUUUCCUUUGCGUUUGGACUCGCCUUAAAUUCAUUGGCAGCCUAUAUAUUGGUUUGAAGCGCAGCACAUUUUGCGGUUCUGUCGAAUACUAUUAGCGUCCAUAAAGCACAAUUAACACUUUUGACCUCGGAUCAAGUAGGGAUACCCGCUGAACUUAAGCAUAUCAAUAAG
rnacentral:rRNA from 1 species